CCUUGGAGGUUUGAAAUGGUUUCCCUCAAGUAAGUCCGGUUUCAUGUUCCACGAACACAAGUCCUUAGGCAUUCACGAGUGCUUCCUCUUCUUGGAAACUGAUCAUGCUUAUCAUCUUCAUUCAAAACAACUAGAGAAACCACAUCAAAUCUGCGAAAGAAAUAAUCAAAGGGUUUCUCUAUCUUUAAGACAUCAAAAUCAGAAUCCAUGCCCUUAGGAUAAUCAUCAAGCACGUGGGCAAGUAUCAAGCAAGUAAAAUGAUUGCCAAAAAUUAGUUUAUCAAUCUCAAAAUCAGGCCACGGUGUGAAACUGUUAGGAAAACAAUGAGGCAAUGCCAAUUUCGAAAAAUUCUCAUCAUGAAUGGAAUCAAAUUGAUUAUUUGGCCUAAGAAAAUUUGGUUCAUGCCUUUUCCUAAACCAAAUCUCUUUCAAAGCACAGCUCAAUGGAAACAAUUCAUGAAAAGGUUUAAGUAAAAUGUUUUUCAACCAAGUAAAGAUUUGUUUUUACUUAGAAAUUCUCAGAUUCAAAACGUUUUCAUGAUGAGUAGAGACAAUCAACCCAUGAUCCUUACAGUGCUUUUGGUUUGGAUAGGAGGUUGACUGAGGAAACACCUUUGGUUCAUUGAGGAUCGGUUUUGGCUCAGGCCGCUUCUUUCUUGGACCUG
rnacentral:lncRNA from 1 species